CGGAGACGCGUAGAGGAGCGCGCCCCCCGGCCGCUGCCGCCCCUGGCCCGUGCCGUCACCCCGCUUCUCCGCGCCUCGGACGGUACCCAGCUAGCUCCUGGCGCCGCGCUGCUGCGCGGACCUGCCCUCCCGACACCUCCCGGGACCGGGGACCCCCCCAGGCCGCUCGCCCGCUGCCCGCCGGCCGCACACGUCCCAGGAGCCGGGCCUAGGGCGGGAGGCAGCGGCGGCUCGGCGCGAUCCGGCUGCGCUCUGCGGCGUCCCCAUGGCAGCGGCCGGCUGGCGGGACGGCUCCAGCCAGGAGAAGUACCUGCUCGUGGUGGUCGGCGGGGGCGGCGUGGGCAAGUCGGCGCUCAUCAUCCAGUUCAACCAGUCCUAUUUUGUAAAGGAUUAUGAUCCAACCAUUGAAGAUUCUUACACAAAGCAGUGUGUGAUAGAUGACAGAGCAGCACGGCUAGAUAUUUUGGAUACAGCAGGACAAGAAGAGUUUGGAGCCAUGAGAGAACAAUGUAUGAGGACUGGCGAGGGCUUCCUGUUGGUCUUUUCAGUCACAAAUAGAGGCAGUUUUGAAGAAAUCUAUAAGUUUCAAAGACAGAUUCUCAGAGUAAAGGGUCGUGAUGAGUUUCCAAUGAUUUUAAUUGGCAAUAAAGCAGAUCUGGAUCAUCAAAGACAGGUAACACAGGAAGAAGGACAGCAGUUAGCGCGGCAACUUAAGGUAACAUAUAUGGAGGCAUCAGCAAAGAUUGGGAUGAAUGUAGAGCAAGCUUUCCAUGAACUUGUCCGGCUUAUCAGGAAAUUUCAAGAGCAGGAAUGUCUUCCUUCAUCAGAAAAAGGCAAGAAAGGCUGCCAUUGUGUCAUUUUCUAGAAUCCUUUCCAUCUUAGCUACCGACUGCCAGGAAAAGCCCUCAUCUUCUCCUCCUCUCCUCAGUUUACAUCUUGUUUGGUGCCUUUCUAGCCUUAGACAAAUGAUCACCAUGUUAGCCUUAGACCAAGAAGCUGGCUAGUCCUUUCAGUGAAGCUAAUACAAUGGUCACUGCCAGACAAAUUUAAAGGAAACACUAAGGCUGCUUCAAAGACUAUCUGAUUCCUUUAAAAUAUGUGUCUAUAUACACAGACACGCUCUUUUUUUAAGUGCUUCCAUGUUAAUAGAGAUGAAUCAGUUUUGGAAUCUAAGCUGUUUGCCAAGCUGAAGCCACAGGUUGUGAAAUAAUUUUUAACUUUUGGAAUCAUACUGCCUACUGUUACUCUAAAUAGAAAUAUAGGGAUUUUUUUUAAAUGUGAAUUUUUGCUUAUCUUUGAAAAUUUCAAUGUCAGCCUUUGUUAACCUUAAAUACACUGAAUUGAAUCUACAAAAGUGAAACAUCUCAGAUCUUGACUGAUAUUGCAACUUUUGUUUUCUGGUGGCCAAAAUACCAAAAUGCCUAUUGACUUUAUGGAUUAAAAACUGUUUAUAAAAGCCUGUGUUAUUGCUCCUGCUCUUGAGGAUGAUAAUAUUCUACAUGGUCAAAUAUUUGGACUCAUUCGGGACUUAAGACAUUUCAGUGUACUUGAUUUUUUUUUUUUUUUUUCACUUCGGAAGUCCUUUAUUGGGCCGGCAGGGCCAGGAGCUGCCCUCCAAGUGGGGUUCCAGUCUGGAGACUUCAGGUUGGUGGCAGACCUGGUGGUUCUGGCCGGGGCAGGCGGCCCCUGCUGACUUGCUACGUGGUGCGUGCCUUCACCUACUCCCAGCCCUCCUUGGAGUACUCGCGGGCCGUGGAAGGAGUCACUGACAGAGCUGACAUCACCGUGAUGAUGCCUGCAUUCCAGGAGUCAUGGAUGGUAAAGUGAAUCUUUGGAGGGGCUGGGAGCUGGGGUAUCUGCAGGCCUGUCUGCUGACGAGGUACCAGCUGAACUGGUACAUGGCGGGAGGGACCACCUCCCCAGCCUUUUGUAGGGCUGUCCGGCUCUUGUCACUGGGCCCCAGCAGCUCCUGGUAGAUGGUGCCUCCAGCCACACUUCCCUUGAUGAGGAACCUCAUCAGCGGCCACACCCGGGCCACCAUGGUCGCUCGGAUCCAAGGGCAAAGACACUCGACUCGCCUGCUGCUUCUGGCCCUUGAUUUUUUAAAACUCUUUUUUUUCACAGCCAUGCUAAGGGUAAAAAUGAAUAAUUUCUGUCUUCCUUUUCAAGUAUUUCUGAAUAAGGGAUUCAAAAACUAAAACUGUUUUUGUUUGAUGUAAUAUAAAAUAUGGAAUUGAGCUUUCUCGGUCAGAGAUGAUUAAUGUUUUUGCUAUACACUUUUAUACUUUUUUUAUCAAAUUAGUUAAUUAUUUUUAUAUGUUUGUAAGCAGAUAUGCUUUCACAGCAUACCUUGUGUAUAUAUAAAGAUAAACAUUGAAUUCUCACUGUUCACCUUUAACUGACAAAGAAAGACAAGUGAAAACUACAGAAGCUGUGGUAGAACUUUUACUUGCUGGUCUGGUCUUGGUUGUACCCAUCUUUGGCCAGUCAUGUGUCUACUCAAGAAACCUUCCCAAUAGAGUACAACAGGGUGAGACUCUAAAAUCGCUUUCAAAAACCAAAACUGUUUUUUUUUUUUUUAUGUAAUAUAAACAUGGAAUUGAGCUUUCUGGGGUCAGAGAUGAUUCAUGUUUUUGCUAUAUACUUUUUUUUAUCAAACUAGUUAACAAGUAUUUUUAUAUGUUUGUAAGCAGAUAAGCUUUCACAGCAUACCUUGUGUAUUUGCAAAGAUAAGCAUUUAAUUCUAGCUGUUGACUUUUAUCUGACAAAGGAAAACAAGUAGAAACUACAGAAACUGUGGUAGAACUUUUACUUGCUGGUCUGGUCUUUGCUAUACCCAUUUUUGGCCAGUCACGUGUCACCUUCCCAAUAGAGUACAACAGGAUGAGACUCUGAAAUCGCUUUCAAUAUUCCCUGCUAGACAUUGAUUGUUAUAUAAAGUUUUAAGUGUAAGCUUUUAAUGGAGAAUUAAAUCUGAUUUUGUUUUUAA